rnacentral:rRNA from 1 species
AUGCACGCUGGCGGCGUGCCUAAUACAUGCAAGUCGAGCGAACAGACGAGGAGCUUGCUCCUCUGACGUUAGCGGCGGACGGGUGAGUAACACGUGGAUAACCUACCUAUAAGACUGGGAUAACUUCGGGAAACCGGAGCUAAUACCGGAUAAUAUAUUGAACCGCAUGGUUCAAUAGUGAAAGACGGUUUUGCUGUCACUUAUAGAUGGAUCCGCGCCGCAUUAGCUAGUUGGUAAGGUAACGGCUUACCAAGGCAACGAUGCGUAGCCGACCUGAGAGGGUGAUCGGCCACACUGGAACUGAGACACGGUCCAGACUCCUACGGGAGGCAGCAUUAGGGAAUCUUCCGCAAUGGGCGAAAGCCUGACGGAGCAACGCCGCGUGAGUGAUGAAGGUCUUCGGAUCGUAAAACUCUGUUAUUAGGGAAGAACAAAUGUGUAAGUAACUAUGCACGUCUUGACGGUACCUAAUCAGAAAGCCACGGCUAACUACGUG